UACGGGGGGGGCAAGCGUUGUUCGGAAUUACUGGGCGUAAAGGGCGCGUAGGCGGCUUUUCAAGUCGGGCGUGAAAUCUCCGGGCUUAACCCGGAAGGGUCGUUCGAUACUGUUGAGCUAGAGUGUGGAAGAGGCAACUAGAAUUCCGUGUGUAGCGGUGAAGUGCGUAGAUAUACGGAGGAAUACCUGAGGCGAAGGCGGGUUGCUGGGCCAACACUGACGCUGAAGUGCGAAAGCCAGGGGAGCAAACGGG
rnacentral:rRNA from 1 species